CAGUAAUAGUGUGGGGUGGCAUUUCAUUGGGGGGCCGCACAGCCCUCCAUGUGCUCGCCAGAGGUAGCCUGACUGCCAUUAGGUACCGAGAUGAGAUCCUCAGACCCCUUGUGAGACCAUAUGCUGGUGCGGUUGGCCCUGUGUUCCUCCUAAUGCAAGACAAUGCUAGACUUCAUGUGGCUGGAGUGUGUCAGCAGUUCCUGCAAGACGAAGGAAUUAAUGCUAUGGACUGGCCCCAGGGGAGGGCUGGCAGCCUUAGGCCUGGGGGGCAAAACCAGUCAAGUGGCC
rnacentral:lncRNA from 1 species